rnacentral:rRNA from 1 species
UACGGGGGGGGCAAGCGUUGUCCGGAUUUAUUGGGCGUAAAGAGCGUGUAGGCGGCCAAAUAGGUCGGUUGUGAAAACUGGAGGCUUAACCUCCAGACGUCGACCGAAACCAUCUGGCUAGAGUCCGGAAGAGGAGAGUGGAAUUCCUGGUGUAGCGGUGAAAUGCGCAGAUAUCAGGAAGAACACCCGUGGCGAAGGCGGCUCUCUGGGACGGUACUGACGCUGAGACGCGAAAGCGUGGGGAGCGAACAGG